ACUUCGGUAAUGACGUUGGGAAAGCGAGCGGCGGAUGGGUGAGUAACACGUGGGGAACCUGCCCCUAAGUCUGGGAUACCAUUUGGAAACAGGUGCUAAUACCGGAUAAUAAAGCAGAUCGCAUGAUCAGCUUUUGAAAGGCGGCGUAAGCUGUCGCUAAGGGAUGGCCCCGCGGUGCAUUAGCUAGUUGGUAAGGUAACGGCUUACCAAGGCGACGAUGCAUAGCCGAGUUGAGAGACUGAUCGGCCACAUUGGGACUGAGACACGGCCCAAACUCCUACGGGAGGCAGCAGUAGGGAAUCUUCCACAAUGGACGCAAGUCUGAUGGAGCAACGCCGCGUGAGUGAAGAAGGUUUUCGGAUCGUAAAGCUCUGUUGUUGGUGAAGAAGGAUAGAGGUAGUAACUGGCCUUUAUUUGACGGUAAUCAACCAGAAAGUCACGGCUAACUACGUGCCAGCAGCCGCGGUAAUACGUAGGUGGCAAGCGUUGUCCGGAUUUAUUGGGCGUAAAGCGAGCGCAGGCGGAAAAAUAAGUCUAAUGUGAAAGCCCUCGGCUUAACCGAGGAACUGCAUCGGAAACUGUUUUUCUUGAGUGCAGAAGAGGAGAGUGGAACUCCAUGUGUAGCGGUGGAAUGCGUAGAUAUAUGGAAGAACACCAGUGGCGAAGGCGGCUCUCUGGUCUGCAACUGACGCUGAGGCUCGAAAGCAUGGGUAGCGAACAGGAUUAGAUACCCUGGUAGUCCAUGCCGUAAACGAUGAGUGCUAAGUGUUGGGAGGUUUCCGCCUCUCAGUGCUGCAGCUAACGCAUUAAGCAC
rnacentral:rRNA from 1 species